CAAAAUAGAGCUUGAUAGAGAGAUUUCAUUUACAUUGAAAAGGUUUUGUGCAAUUCAUAUAUUUUGAU
rnacentral:tRNA from 1 species